UUCCAGACUCCUACGGGAGGCAGCAGUGAGGAAUAUUGGUCAAUGGGCUUACGCCUGAACCAGCCAAGUCGCGUGAGGGAAGACUGCCCUAUGGGUUGUAAACCUCUUUUGUCAGGGAGCAAUUGGCGCUACGUGUAGCGUUAUCGAGAGUACCUGAAGAAAAAGCAUCGGCUAACUCCGUGCCAGCAGCCGCGGUAAUACGGAGGAUGCGAGCGUUAUCCGGAUUUACUGGGUGUAAAGGGCGUGUAGCCGGGCUGACAAGUCAGAUGUGAAAUCCGGGGGCUCAACCCCCGAACUGCAUUUGAAACUGUUGGUCUUGAGUAUCGGAGAGGCAGGCGGAAUUCCUAGUGUAGCGGUGAAAUGCGUAGAUAUUAGGAGGAACACCAGUGGCGAAGGCGGCCUGCUGGACGACAACUGACGGUGAGGCGCGAAAGCGUGGGGAGCAAACAGGAUUAGAUACCCGCGUAU
rnacentral:rRNA from 1 species